UACGUAGGGGGCUAGCGUUGUCCGGAUUUACUGGGCGUAAAGGGCGCGUAGGCGGUCGUGACAAGUCACUUGUGAAAUCUCCGGGCUUAACUCGGAACGGUCAACUGAUACUGUGCGACUAGAGUGCAGGAGGGGCAACUGGAAUUCCCGGUGUAGCGGUGAAAUGCGCAGAUAUCGGGAGGAACACCAAUGGCGAAGGCAGCUCGCUGGGACGGUACUGACGCUGAGACGCGAAAGCGUGGGGAGCAAACAGG
rnacentral:rRNA from 1 species